CUCUCUCUCUCUCUCUCCAAAAAAUUCCCCAUUCUGCAUCCGAAGCUCUGUGGCGGCCCAGGAGGCGACGGAAGCUCUAGAUCUGCGACGACAUCUCCAGCGGUGCUCCAGGGACAGGGCUGGAGAACUGAUGUUGGAGUACACCUGAAGGGCGGACGAGCAACAUGGAUGUUCAUGGGCCCCUUAAUGUAAGAUUUCAUUUCAACGGGGAGUUCAUCCAUGAUAGGAAGAAGCUGCAUUAUUGUGGUGGAAAUGAUAGAAUGUCUUACAUUGAAAGGGAGAAAGUGUCAUUGCCAGAAGUGGUUGGACACCUGAAGGACCAUUGCAUUGUUUCGGUUGGCUGCUUGUUGCACUGGCUGUUCCCUGGGCACGAUCUUGCCACCGGGCUUUACGUUUUGUUGGACGACAAGACAUGCCUACACAUGUCAAAUUGCACUGAUGAGGGAUGUGUUGCGGACAUAUACGUUGAGGCCUUAGGUGUAGUGGAAGAAGCAGAUGAUGAGGAUGGCUUAGAUGAUGAUGAUAUGGAUGCAGACAUGGAAGCUGAUGAUGAAGAUAUAGACAUGGGAGCUGGUGCAGUGAAGCAUAUGGCAACAUGCAGGGAGCCUACAGAGAAAGUUGAGAAUUCUACAGCUCAAGUAAGAAAAGGGAUGCUCCAGUUGAGGAAGGCCCAAGAAAGAGAGGAAGAGAGAGCCACAUGAGAAACCAAAACCAACUAGAAUCUCAAGAGCAGGGACAGUAAUCAGAUCUAGAGGGUGCAAAGGUGUUGGAUACAAUAUAAGUACUUGUUCCAGAAAGAAUGGAGGGCCUGCAGCAACAACUUUCAGCUGCUACACCUCCUCCAAAUGCCAUGGCCAUUGUGACCAGCACACAACAAAGCUCAUGCAGUGAUGUAAAGAUGUCCAACAAAAGAAAGAGAAGUGCAGGUGACAUGCCAUCUGGUACCACAAUACAUAUAUCUGAUAGUACAAGAACAACUAAGUCUACUAUGCAGAAGGAGGGGUUUACCAAGGCAUCAUCCAAGGCUAAGGUGUCCACAUCAGUAGGUAGCAAUGCUUCUCUGAAUCUACAUGCCUAGCUCCCAUUGUCACAGGCAAGCUCUAGUGUUACAAUCAAUGUAAUAUCUUGAACAACUUUUGGUAAAGUUAGUGCCCAGGAGCCACCAAAGAGAGAAAAAAUCUACACCAAAGCCAGGAAAACAACAACCACAACUUAUGUUGCCUCAUGGUGGUUCUGAUCAGAUGUAAUACAAGUGAUGUGCCUGUUAUGUAUUGCCAGAAUGUUGGCCUCGUACUAUGCUAUAUCAAGAACUUGUAUUGCUAGACUAUUGGCCUUUUUUAAGUUGCUAUCUAAACAUGUAUUGUCAGUCUAUUUGCAUAUCUUAAGUUGCUAUCUGAACAUGUAUUGCUAGACUAUUGGCAUAUCUUAAUUUCCUAUCUGAACAUGUA